rnacentral:rRNA from 1 species
ACGCUGGCGGCGUGCCUAAUACAUGCAAGUCGAACGAGAGCGACCGGUGCUUGCACUGGUCAAUCUAGUGGCGAACGGGUGGGUAACACGUGGGUAACCUGCCCAUCAGAGGGGGAUAACAUUCGGAAACGGAUGCUAAAACCGCAUAGGUCCUUUAACCGCAUGGUUGAAGGAGGAAAAGAGGCGCAAGCUUCUGCUGAUGGAUGGACCCGCGGUGCAUUAGCUAGUUGGUGAGGUAACGGCUCACCAAGGCCGUGAUGCAUAGCCGACCUGAGAGGGUGAUCGGCCACAUUGGGACUGAGACACGGCCCAAACUCCUACGGGAGGCAGCAGUAGGGAAUCUUCCGCAAUGGACGCAAGUCUGACGGAGCAACGCCGCGUGAGUGAAGAAGGUUUUCGGAUCGUAAAACUCUGUUGUUAGAGAAGAACAAGUGCUAGAGUAACUGUUAGCGCCUUGACGGUAUCUAACCAGAAAGCCACGGCUAACUACGUGCCAGCAGCCGCGGUAAUACGUAGGUGGCAAGCGUUGUCCGGAUUUAUUGGGCGUAAAGCGAGCGCAGGCGGUUCCUUAAGUCUGAUGUGAAAGCCCCCGGCUCAACCGGGGAGGGUCAUUGGAAACUGGGGAACUUGAGUGCAGAAGAGGAGAGUGGAAUUCCAUGUGUAGCGGUGAAAUGCGUAGAUAUAUGGAGGAACACCAGUGGCGAAGGCGACUCUCUGGUCUGUAACUGACGCUGAGGCUCGAAAGCGUGGGUAGCAAACAGGAUUAGAUACCCUGGUAGUCCACGCCGUAAACGAUGAGUGCUAAGUGUUGGAGGGUUUCCGCCCUUCAGUGCUGCAGUUAACGCAUUAAGCACUCCGCCUGGGGAGUACGACCGCAAGGUUGAAACUCAAAGGAAUUGACGGGGACCCG